GAGCUAGGCUGACACCAUAGCACUCUAGCCCAGGCAAGAGAGUGAGACUCUGGCCCCCACCCCCCAAAAAAUCAAUGACAUGAAAAACAAACAGGCUGAGUGUGGGACAGAGGUUACUCUUCUAUGUUAAAAGAGACUAGAUCGACUAUAACAUCAGGAAAAGAAGAAAUAAUAGUUUAAAAAUGAAAAAAAUAAAAAAUGUGAAAUAAUUUAAAAGAAAGAGAGAGACUAGAGAUACAUGACCAAAUGCAAUACAUGAAAAUUGCCUGCCCCUGAACUAAAAUAAAAUGCUAAAAUGUCAUUCUGGGGACAAGCGGGGAUGAUACUACUGAAUUACUGUUGGCUUGCUUAGAUGUAUAAUGGUGUUAUAAUUAUAUAAAGCGAGCUUUCUCAACCUCUGCUGUUGACAUUUUAGAUCAGAUAAUUCUUUCUUGUUGGAUGUUUAGCAGCAUUUCUAGCCUCUGCCCACGAGGUGUCAGUAGCGCCACACCACUUCUGUUGCAACCACCAAAAAUUUCAGAAAGUGUUUUUGAAUGAGGUAGUGGUGAUGAUUGCAUAACAUUGUGAUUGUACAAAAUCAAUGGACUGUAUACUUUAAAAUGGUUAAAAUGAUGAAUUUUUAUGUUAUAUAAAUUUUUCUCAAUAAAGUAAUUAAAAAAAUGUUUUCAGUUAGUGUCAAAUGUCCCCCUGGAGGGCAAACUCACCCUUGGUGGAGAACCACUGCAGAAGGGUACACUAAUUCUGAAGGGAUGCAGGCUGCAAGAUUUGGGAAUGGAAUGUCUUGUUUGCAACUUACUUUCAAGCAGCAAAUGUGGUAAAAUGUUAACCAUUGAUGAAACCAGGUAUAUGUGUUGUUCAUUUACUGUUCUGUCAACUUUCCAUAGAUGUAAAAAUUUUCAAAACCCAAGGAAAAUAUUUUAACUUCAAAAUAUCUGUGUUUAUGACAUCCAAGGGAUCCAUGACAACUGCCAAAUGGCAGCCUCCUUUCAGAUUUGAUUACCCUAGUGCCUACAUUGUUGAGUGUACGAACCCUUCAUCCUUCAAGGUAGAACUCUUUCUCUCUGUUUCUCUGUCUGUCUCUCUCUUUCUCUCCCUCCCCCGUCCCACCCCAAGGCUGCCCUGAGCAUGUUGGUCCCAUGCUUUACCCGGUGGCUUGUGGAGAGAAGGACAUCCUAUAGACAGUCAUCUGCUCUGACUGGAUGCAGGUGAUGGGCCAUGUCAGCUCCUUUGUGCCACUGCACUGUGAGGAAGCCCAAGCUGCCCAACAGAGAGGCAUGUUUGGAGAGGAAGCAACAUGCAGCACCAACUCAAAAGCCACUUAAGUGAAUCAUCUUGGAAGUGGCUCCUCCAGCCGCAGCUGAUACUGCAUGGAGCAGAGACAAGUUGUCUCCACCGAGCUCUGCUUAUUUUGCAGCCUAGACACAGGUCUCUGAGGUGUGUGACUUCUGAGACUAAAAAGCAUACGGCUUCUUCCUUGUUUUUUGUCUUGGAUUGCUUGUUCUGGGGAAAGCCAACUGCUAUUUUGUAGGAUGCUCAACCCUAUGGAGAGGCCCACAGGGUAAGGACCUGAGGCCUUCUGCCAACAACCAUGUGAGUACACUUGGAAUCAGACCCUCCAGCCCCAGCCAAGCCUUCAGAUGACUGCAGCCUCAGCUGACAUCCUGACUGCAGUUUCCUUAGAGACCUGAGCCAGAACGCAGCUAAGCCAUCCCCAGAUUCCUGACCCUGAGAAACUGUGCCGAGAUAAUAAAUGUUGUUUAAAACAAACAAACAAAAGAUAUUCUAGGAAGGAACUCUCUCUGCUGAGCAAUUUCUGCCUCCAAGAGGCCAGCUCUAAAUGCUCAUCUCUGAAAUGAGUUCCCUCCUCCGAGCCCAGUGAGUCCCCUGCCCUGCAAUGCCCACACUCAUUGCUUUGUUACCAUUGUUAUCUCAUGGGUCAGUGAGAAUGUUGGCAGACUUCUCCUCACUUUACAGAAGAACAAACUGAGGCCUGGAACAAUGGCAUGAAGAUGACCAUAGUCACAGAAGAAUAAGAGACAGAGAUAUUGUUUUAGGUUUGGGUUCCUGCUGCAGAAGAUCUUGUGAUAAACAUUGCAGCACAGGAAAUUUCUUAGAAGAUACACAGAGCCAUGGUAGAAGGAUAUAGAGGUGACACAGGGAGGGAAGACAGCCAGCGUAAAGUGGGUUAUCAAGCAGGGUUUCACUGUGUGCCUAUUCCUUCCUGGGGUGCAGAUGGGGAACUCUAGGAUACAGUACAGAAUACAUGUCUUAAAGGGGUUCCACCUGAGGCAGGAUGAAGUCAGAGUAGAUAUACAACCACUUCCCUCAGUCCUUCCUGGAGGGCUGUUGAGGGUGUUAAUUCCUGACACUUCUGACC